GCAGACGGGCAUUUCGUCGCUCAUUGCAGUUGAAGCAAUGUGAGGAAAGUCCGGGCAACAUAGAGCACCAAACUUCCUAACGGGAAGCUGUCGGCAACGGUAGAGUAGCGUGACAGAAAAUAACCGCCCNCGCGNNCAANGCGCNGCGCAGGNAAGGGUGAAAAGGUGGGGUAAGAGCCCACCGGGGCCGANGGCAGNNAUGUNGCGUGCCGCACGCCUUAUGGGUUGCAAGGNCAAGUAUACCGGCAUUUAAGGGUUGCUCGCCCAUUGCCGGGGGGUAGGCUGCUAAAGCCGCGAUGGUGACAUCCGGUUCAGAUAAAUGACGAAACGUUGUCGAGGUAACCCUCUCAAGAAAGGUAGUCCCGACAGCCGACAUAACCCGGCUUAUCGUCCGUCUGCGCUU
rnacentral:RNase_P_RNA from 1 species